ACUCCUACGGGAGGCAGCAGUGGGGAAUUUUGGACAAUGGGGGCAACCCUGAUCCAGCAAUGCCGCGUGAGUGAAGAAGGCCUUCGGGUUGUAAAGCUCUUUUGUCAGGGAAGAAACGGUGGUGGCGAAUAACUACUACUAAUGACGGUACCUGAAGAAUAAGCACCGGCUAACUACGUGCCAGCAGCCGCGGUAAUACGUAGGGUGCAAGCGUUAAUCGGAAUUACUGGGCGUAAAGCGUGCGCAGGCGGUUGUGUAAGGCAGAUGUGAAAUCCCCGGGCUCAACCUGGGAAUUGCAUUUGAGACUGCACGGCUAGAGUGUGUCAGAGGGGGGUAGAAUUCCACGUGUAGCAGUGAAAUGCGUAGAUAUGUGGAGGAAUACCGAUGGCGAAGGCAGCCCCCUGGGAUAACACUGACGCUCAUGCACGAAAGCGUGGGGAGCAAACAGGAUUAGAAACCCGUGUAGUCCCAUGAU
rnacentral:rRNA from 1 species